AAAAAAUAAUUGCAAUGGCCACCACAGUUAGCGUCGGCGCAAAAAUGCCGUCGCCAUUGGUCAUAGAUUUGCUACGGGAAACAAGGCGUAGCAAAAAUAAAAAUUAGUUUGCGACGGCAAAGGAGAGCCGUAGCAUAUAUGCUACACAUGGUUAGCGUCGGUACUCAAUUGCCGUCGCCAAAGCUCCUAUAUUUGCUACGGCAAAGCAUGUAGUCGCAAAAGUAUAAUAGGUUUACGUCAGCAGUAUGACGCCGUCGCUAAAAUCACUGGGCUUUGCUACUGCGAAUGUCUUCCGUCGUAUGAUUCAUUCCUCUCACAUUUAACUCUCACUCUCUCUCGAUCAGUUUCCCCAUUUGUAGCGUUGCCUCUUUCUCUUUCUCUCUCUGAUUCCUUCCCAACCCCAAAACAUGACCCUCCCCAAUCCAUGAAGAUCAAUACCAGAUCCGGAACACCCACCGCCACCUUCCUCCAACCCACCAUCAAGGGAUCGCCUGCUGCAAGAUCUGAAAUCCCAAUCUCCAAUGAAUUUGAGCCGCGAUCCGAUUGGAUCUAACCACAAAUCCAUAAACCAGAUCGAAAACGAAACCCUGUAACACAACUGGUCUCCACCACUUGCCACUAACCCAAAUCCUGUGUAACCUCCAUCCUCGACACCACGCGCCGUCUGGAUACCCAUGGUUCAGAUCUCCCCCACCUUCCCUCUUCUCUGCGCCAGCCAGCUCUUCCUCCGCCUCUGCCGCCUCUGUCGAAACGCUCCUACUAUAUAAACCCUUAACAAAUCUCCCUCUUUCAUUUUCAGUUCUCAGCGCCACUUGCACUACUUCUUUUCGACCUCAAAAACUCAAAUGCUUUGCCGAAUCAGCAGACCGUGGAGUACCCGAGCUUCAAGCUCGUAAUCGUUGGUGAUGGUGGAACAGCAUAAAUAGAAAGGUGUUUGUUUGGGAACUUUGGGUUGUCUUCAUGAUCUGUGAAGAAAGGGGCAGGCCGGUCGGAUUUGUAGUUCUCUGUAUUUGCCGUUGUUGCUGGUUUGAUUUGUGGUUUUGUGUUUAUAAAGGCUUAGCUACUGCAGUGAAAGAGAGAAGAGGGCAAAUCAGUUUGUAUUUCCUUUGUAAAG